rnacentral:lncRNA from 1 species
UUAUAAAAUGCAACACUCUCAUCCAAAGAAGACUAAUUUUAACAUUUUGAUGUAUAUGAGUCCAGACUGUGCCAUACGUUCAUUUGCCUACAAGUCCUAAUAUAUAAUAUGCGUUGGUGCUUUUUGUUGUUGUUUUUUUUGGGGGGAUAGUUUUUGAAGAAGCCAAAAAUUUUUUAAAAAGUUCUAUUUAUAAGGUAGAUGACUCUGAGGUUUGUUCUUUCUCUGAGUCUGCGUCGGCUCGCCUUCCUUGAUUCUACGACGUUUUGUCACAGUUCCACAGUCCCGUUUGUAGAUCGUGUGGGUUAUUCUUCACCCCACUCUGUCCACUUGGGGGCUAUCUCAGUCCAUUUCAGAUCUGAGACUGGACGGAGGCCGACACCCGUUUCCAAGCCAAGUCUUCCUGUGCGGCCGACAUUCAUCAGAUCACCCUCCCUCUGUGAAACGAGGUCUCCUAACGGCACCCCCUGACUUUUUUUCGACACCCUCAUACAUUUGGCCCUCGGUAUCCACAGUGUUCCCCACCGAUGGAUUCAAUCAACCAGGAAUCGAAAAUAUCCUUUAAUAAAUUGCAUCUGUACUGAACACGUACAGACUUUUCCUUACCAUUAUUCCCUAAACAACACAGUAUAACAAUUAUUUACAUUGCAUUAGGUAUUAGAAAUAAUCCAGAGAAGAUUUAAAGUACACGGAGGAUGUGCGUAGGCGAUAUGCAAAUAUUACGCCAUUUUAUAUCAGGGACUUGAGCAUUCCGGAUUUGGUAUCAGCACAGGUCCUGGAACCAAUUCCCCAAGGAUGUGGAAGGAGGACUGUAUCAUUCAGGAAAAAGUACAAUCCUCUGCGGUGCUGCCCCCAGCUCCCCGCCUUCACCACUGCGCCUGCGCCUCCGAGAACGGACUACAACUCCCAGGAUGCACCGCGCCCGCCACCGCCCUGGCAGCCCGACUUCCUGCUGGAGGUUUCCUGUGGCUUGGGGCUCCGCCCGGUAUGGGGAAAGUUUAAGGCGGAAGAGCCCUCGUUUGUCGGCUGCUUGGGAAGUCUGAGGAUUACUGGGACUAACAGGACUUCAGCUGGGGCUUCAACGUGUGGUGUGGGCUUCCUGACACCACGGCCACUGGUUUCCAAGAGUUUCAACAAUAUUUUCAUCAUAUUUAUUGAAGGCCUCACUGACAGACUUCUCAAGGCCCCUCUACCUUCUAUUCGCUGCCUGGCCCCAAAGCCAGUGCCACACAUUUUAGGUUUUUAACUGCAGCAGCACCUAUGAUGUUUCCAAAAUCUGUAUCAUUAAAGUUUGAUCAGAGAAGCAAAACCACCUUGAGCAAAACAAGGAAUUUAUUAAAGAGAUUAGGAUACACAUUGUUAUGAAAGCUGCAACCUGCUGCCCCUGUGUCCAGAAGUGGGCCUGAAGUCAGCAGGGCUGGCAAAUGGAUGUGCAGUGGGAGAGAGUAGGCGUGAGCUGCACCUGCAGGGAGGAGAUGGAACUCCUGUGGAUGGACUGAAACUGAUGUCUUCCACGUCAGCCUCUCAGGCCUCCAACACUCCAGCGCUGAUGAUGAAGAUGACCUGCAGAGGAGCUGGUGCCCUUCACCAUGGAAUUGCUCAUAAACCCAAGAUUCAGUGAAGCUGAAGAAGCAGUUCUGGUGGGAGCUGGAGGAACUGCAGGCACAGCUGCUGCCCUGUACCAAUACAUUGAGCCAGUGGCUGCCUGGCAUUGUGUGUGAGCCACCACAGCGCCUGGCCCUACACAGACUUUGACUGUAAAUAUGACUGCUGUUUCACUUCUGCCUUCCAAAUUUUGCUCAGAUUUUCUGAGAAACAUAGUUCAGCUUAGGUACAUUGACACAGUACAAAGCCACCGCAGUGGCUGGUUAGGGAGGGAUUAUGAAUGCAGGCUGAGAAUGCACGGGAAGCGUUUGUCUAUUUAUAGAGUAGGUACCAUUCAAGGAUUUAUGUGAAUCAGGUGCAAAGAACUCACACAAAGAUGGGGAAAGUUAGUACUUAGAAAUCAGUGAUACUAGAUAACCAAUAAAUAAAAAUAAACUUA